rnacentral:lncRNA from 1 species
UGGGGACACCUAUCUGGCAUCUUGAGAAUCUUUUACCUCAUCAGUUUGUUGUGCGCCUACGUUCAUAGUAAAUACAAAGCAACUCCAUCAUGUCUUUUGUGUGUGUGUACUUGUUCAGCUACUUGACAGCUAUUAUACAGGAGAAUAUCUCCACGUUUAUAUGACAAUUGUAAUAUUUAAGCAAGGGUUGUAAGGUACCACCUAUUA